UCGGGUAUGGUGUAAUGGUUAACAUCAGCGUAAGAUUUAGCCAAUCAAAUGUGUAACGGACUCGCAUCUAAUCCGCCAUCAGGACUCUCAAACGAGCUCACUCGCUAGCUCCGGGUUCGAUUCCCGGUAUCCGAG